rnacentral:rRNA from 1 species
UACGGAGGGUGCAAGCGUUAUCCGGAUUCACUGGGUUUAAAGGGUGCGUAGGAGGGCAGGUAAGUCAGUGGUGAAAUCUUCGAGCUUAACUCGGAAACUGCCGUUGAUACUAUCUGUCUUGAAUACCGUGGAGGUGAGCGGAAUAUGUCAUGUAGCGGUGAAAUGUUUAGAUAUGACAUAGAACACCAAUUGCGAAGGCAGCUCGCUACACGAAUAUUGACUCUGAGGCACGAAAGCGUGGGGAUCAAACAGG